rnacentral:rRNA from 1 species
GAUGAACGCUAGCGGCGGGCUUAAUACAUGCAAGUCGUGGGGCAGCAUGAGUGUAGCAAUACAUUUGAUGGCGACCGGCAAACGGGUGAGGAACACGUACACAAUCUUCCCAUGACUGGGGGAUAACCCGGGGAAACCCGGACUAAUAUCCCAUAGUAUAUUGUAGAGGCAUCCUUAUGAUAUUAAAGUUUUAAUGGUUAUGGAUGAUGGUGCGUCUGAUUAGGUAGUUGGCGGGGUAACGGCCCACCAAGCCUGCGAUCAGUAACUGGUGUGAGAGCACGACCAGUCACACGGGCACUGAGACACGGGCCCGACUCCUACGGGAGGCAGCAGUAAGGAAUAUUGGUCAAUGGACGAAAGUCUGAACCAGCCAUGCCGCGUGGAGGAUGAAGGUCAUCUGGAUUGUAAACUUCUUUUAUCUGGGACGAAAAAAGGGAAUUCUUUCUCGUCUGACGGUACCAGAUGAAUAAGCACCGGCUAACUCCGUGCCAGCCGCCGCCGUAACAC